rnacentral:lncRNA from 1 species
ACCCCCUCUCCGGUAACAACAAUAGUGAUUCUCAAAAUGUGGUUCCCAAAUCAGCAGCACUAGCAUCACCCGGGAACUUGUCAGAAAUGCAGAUUGAGCUCUGGCGACCAGAAGUCUAAAGUCAAGGUGUUGGCGUGGCGCGACCUCACUCCCUCCCAAGGCUCCCCGGUUCCUUGCCUCUUCCAGUUUCUGGUGUCUGUUGGCAUUCACUGUGGCUGCAUCCCUCCAAUCUCUGCCUCCGUCUUCACAUGGCUCUCUCAUCUGUGUGUCCGUGUCUUCCCUUCUUCUGUCCCUUACAAAGACACUUGUCAUUGGAUGUAGGGUCCACUUGGUAAUCCAGAAUGAUCUCAUCUUAAGAUUCUUAACUUAAUUACACCUGCAAAGACACCCUUACCCUCACAUUCAUAGGUUCUGGGGACAUAUUUUUUUGGGGGACACCAUUCAACCCACUACAACACUCAAGUUUGAGAAGCAGUGGUAGAGGCAGAAUGAAUGAGGAAAUUCCACAUGGAAAGGUGCUCCCUUCAAUUUCACAAAAAUCCCCCCCCCCUUUUCAUUUUCUCCUCUUGUUCACUUCUUUCUCUUCCUUUUAUUCACUUGAUUGUUAUGUGUUUCUAUUUCUUUUCCACUAUUUUUUUUUUCCUCAUAUUCCUUGAGAAAAAAUUUUUCCAUUACUUUUUGACUCUUAUAGCCCCGUUCAGGCUGCAAACUGCAUUUCCGUUUUAGAAGAAAAUUCAGAAUAGUGAAACAAGGCUUCCUUUUUUGGGUGAAAUAUCAAAAAUCAUAUUUCACAUAAAAUGUGAUCAAAUCUGAUUUUAGAAUUAAUACUACAGAUAAAUGCUGUAGAUGGUUUAGUAAUUCUGUUUUUCCCAUUGCAACCAGUGUCCUCUAGUGGUCAAUGUUGGAAUUGAUAGUAAAAAAUAAACAUUUUCAUCUCUUUUCUUGCUUACUGAUUAAAUAACAUAUGUUGAGAAAGCAAUGUGUGUCAGAUACUGUAGAUGUCUAUAUAAGACACCUAGACAAAUAAAAUUAAGAUGCCGUCCUUCAAAAGCUCGACUUUUUCCUGUAUUAUUUCAGAGAUGCUGGAAUAUUUGAUUGGAAUAUUUAUUUCAUUAAAAUCUAUGAAAACCAUUUCAAGUUCAUUAGUGUAACUAUGCAGACGUUCUAGCAAGCAAUUUUUUUUGUCCAGAGGGAUAAUUCCAAGAAACUUUAUAAUGUAUGAAAAAUGAAUGAAAUAUACAACAUAACUCAGGUCAGAAACACUUGGUGUGAUGAUUUAAUAAAUUGUACAUGCCAAUAUAAAAAUUUUAACUCUUUGAAACCCCUUUAUCUCUCAUGUUAAUCCUUAUAUCUCUUUUAUGUUUUGAAGAAUAGCAAAUUGGUUCAAGAGUGCACUAAUCAAGCACACACAUUUUACUCUCUUUCCUCCCCAAAUCCCAUGGAAAUAAAAAUAAAUAAAUAAAAUAAACAUGAGAAUAAAUCUGUAAAGAAUUGAAUCAUGGGAAACUGGCAUCACCAGACCAAAAGUAAGUGCAAUUUUGACUAAAUGUAUGGGGUAAGUGUAUAGCAGAGUCAUGUCAGGCAUGGGAAUUCCUGAUCUGAGUAGGGUUUUCCAAGAGUUGUAUUGGUCUUCAUAAGACAAGGAGGUACUUAGGGGUGAAGAGGCCAUAGCAGGAAGGGAAGCUGGGGGAGUGUUCAUGUGGAGAGCCCAGCUUCUGAGAUGCUUUCCUCUUAAACCCCAAUAAAAGAAUCUUCCAGUUAGAAAUCUAGUCUUUCCCCUCCUACACUAUAAUUCCCUCUUUUAAACUUUUCCUAUCCUUCAGUAGAUAAAUUCUUAUUGUUAUGGGCUAAGUUGUAUCCCCAAAAAUGCAUGUGUUGAAGUCCUAACCCCCAGUACCUCGGAAUAUGACUGUAUUUGGAGGUAGGGUCUUUAAAAAGGUAAGUAAGGUAAACUGAGGUCAUAUGGGAAGGCCCUAAUCCAAUAUAACUGUUUCAUAAUAAGAAAAGGAGACUAGGAAGCCGGCAACACACAGACUGAGGGACAAGCACGACAGGGCACAGCAAGAAGGCCGCCACCUGCAGGUCAAGGAAAGAAGCUUCACUGUAAAACAACUCUGCUGACACCUUGAUCUUGGACUUCCAACUUGCAGAACUGUCAGAAAAUAAAUUUCUGUUGUUUAAGCCACCCACUCUGUGGUAAUUUGUUAUGGCAGCAAACUAAUACACAUAUUCACCUGCAGAGCCUGGUGGAAUAAUCUUAGAGAGGCUGCACAGGACAAUUCAUAAAAAGUGAAUGAAAGGGAGUCCCAAUACCUCGUUAUCACACUGGCACCCCUCAAGAGGGAUCCUUAUUAUUUCAAGUCUAUGAGCUGUAGCACAAUGCACAGGACAAUUCAUAAAAAGUGAAUGAAAGGGAGUCCCAAUACCUCGUUAUCACACUGGCACCCCUCAAGAGGGAUUCUUAUUAUUUCAAGUCUAUGAGCUGUAGCACAAUGCAGUCUGCAGAAAGACGAGGAAAUUUUAGAAAGAGCAGUAAAGCCAAGAUGUUCAGAAGCAUCCCUGAGUGGACAACUGGAGACACAGAUGACUGAACUAUCUGCUUCCACUGCUCCUGCAUGAUGAUUUUACUUAGUACAUGGAUGAGUAUUCAUUUUAACCAUUACAUAUUUGUCUGGGUGUAAUACAUACAAUUAUUAUAUCAAUUCCAUUAUUUUACAGACAUUGCUGCUAAAAAUAAGGCUAGUAAAAAUCGAGAAUUGAUUUAAAGCUGAAGAGGAAAAGUGAAAAAUUCCAUAAAGAAAAAAAAGUUAUGUACAGGGCAAUAAUGAUCAUACAUCUACAACCUAAGAUGCUAGGAAACAAAAGAGUAUAUAUACAGAGUUCUAAGAGGAAAGGAUUUAGAACCUGAAAUCCCAUAUCCAGACAAAUUAUCACUCACAUAAAAGGACAAAAUAAGGAUAUUUGUAGAUGUCACACAAAACUUUUAGAUAUAACUACUGAUCUGGUUUGGAUCUGUGUCCCCACCAAAGCUCAUGUUGAAUCAUAAUCCCCAUUGUUGGAGGUGGGGCCUGGUAGGAGGUGAUUGGAUCAUGGUGGCAGAUUUCUCAUGAAUGAGUUCAUACCAUCCCCUUGGUACUGUCCUCAUGAUAGUGAGUGAGUUCUCAUGAGACUGGUGGUUUAAAACUGUGUGGCACCUCCCUGCUCUCUGUCUCAGUCCUGCUUUUGCCGUGUGAUGUGCCUGCUCCCCCUUUGCCUUCCGCAUGAUUGUGAGCUUCCUGACACCUCCCCAGAAGCAGACGCAGCUAUGCUUCCUGCACAGCCUGCAGGACCAUGAGCCAAAUUAAAACUUGCUUUUUUGUAAAUUACCCAGUCUCAGGUAUUUCUUUAUAGCAAUGAGAGAACUGACUAAUACAAAUACUGAAUGAGGAACUUCAGUAAGAAGGAAAUUGAAUCUCAUAAGUUAAAUUGUAUGUAAGAAACAUUGGUAAGCACAUUGAUAAUAUGUGAUAAAAUAAAUACUGAGGCCUGGUGCCAGUGACUCAUACCUGUAAUCCCAGCACUUUGGGAGGCCGAGGCAGAUGGAUCACUUGGGUCAGAAGUUCAAGACUAGUCUGGCCAGCAUGGUGAAACCCCACCUCUACUAAAAAUACAAAAAUGAGAUGGGUGUGGAGGCUGGCGCCUGUAAUUCCAGCUACUCGGGAGGCUGAGGCAUGAAAAUUGCUUGAGCCUGGGAGGCAGAGGUUGCAGUGAGCCGAGAUUGUGCCACUGCACUCCAGCCUGGGCAACAGAACGAGACCCUGUCUCAAAAUAAAUAAAUAAAUACAUACAUACAUACACACACACACACUGAGUGUUGAGUAAGGUAGAGAAUAAAGAAUUCCCUUCUCUUGGCAUGAGUAAAGAGGAGGGCUUGGUUUGGGAAGCCCUAUGUUAUAGGACUGGGAUCCCCCAUCUUGCAUUCCCUUUUUAGGGUGCUGAUAGGCGGGAGAAAACACUUUGGGCUUAGCCCCAGAUAGUCUGAACACAAGAGGUAGCUCUUUAUGGGUAAAUGCCAAUUGUCCACACUUGGUGUCCAUAGUGAGCACUGGUGAUCUCAAGCACAGUCUCCCCUCUCCCCACCGGGUCCCCACUGGGGUUAGAAGAGCCCUUGUGAUAUGGUUUGGCUCUGUGUCCCCACCCAAAUCUCAUCUUGAAUUGUAUCUCCUACAAUUCCCACGAGGUUUGGGAGGGACCCGGUGCGAGAUAACUGAAUCAAGGGGGCAGUUUCCCUCAUACUGUCCUCGUGGUAGUGAAUAAGUCUCACAAGAUCUAAUGGUUUUAUCAGGGAUUUCCGCUUUUGUAUCUUCCUCAUUCUCUCUUUGCCUGCUGCCAUCCCGUCUUCCUCAUUCUGUUUGCCUGCUGCCAUCCAUGUAAGAGGAGACUGGAUCCUCUUUGCUGUCCACCAUGAUUGUGAGGCUUCCCCAGCCAUGUGAAAUUGCCAGUCCAAUUAAACCUCUUUCUUUUGUAAAUUGCCCAGUCUCUGGUAUGUCUUUAUCAGCAGCGCGAAAACGGACUAAUGCAUCUUGGUUUCAGCUUGCUCACUGCUCAGCAAUCAAGAAGAUCCCUGGGCCAGUCAUUUGAAAUACCAUUUUAUCUUCAAAAUAGGUAAAUAAAAAUGAUUAACUUGAGAAUAUAGAAACAGAGGAACUAAAAUACUAGACAAUAAAUAACAAUAACAUAUAAUAAAGGAGGAAAACAGAGAUAAACAAUCCAAAGAUUAUUUGGAAGGGAGUUAAAGAUACAGGCAAACUUAGAUUCCAUUAAAGCAACUAAGUAUGCAUAAAUUUAAGAGUGAAUGUAAGAACAAGUGAAAUAGAAUAUAUAACUUCCAAACUAUUAGAGUCGAAAAAUGAGAAAGAAUUUGAUCAAUCCAAUCAAAUUUUAAAAAGAAAAAAGAUGCAAAGAACAUGUAGUAUAUAAAAUGCACAAAAUGAGAUGGUAGAAAUAACUUCAAAUAGAUCAAUAACCUAAAGUGAUUAGAAUAAACUCACCAAUUAAGAGACAAAUAUUCUAAAAAAGAAUUUUUCUAAGAAAAGGUUUAGAAAAAUAAAAUACACAUAUAUGCUCUCUUUAAGAGAUUCACACGAAACCCAACAGCACAGAAAAUUUGUAGGAAAAUAUGGCAAAUGUUAUAUUAACCAAAAGAAAGCUAAUGUAACCAUGUUAAUAUUAAUAGCAGACAGAAUAGACUUUAGGAUUUAAAAAAAAUCCUUUUAGGGAUAAAGAGGGUCAUUAUAUAAUAAUGAAAAUGAAUUCACCACAAUGAUAUAAUAAUUUUUAGCUUAUACAUACUUAACAGCAUCACCUAAAAAGAUAUAAAGCAAAAAUUCAGAGAAUUACAAAAUGAAUAUGAUAAAUUCACAGUCACAAUAGGAAAUAUCAACAUAGGUCUAUGAGUAAUUGACAGUUUGAGCAGAGCAAAACUAUUAAUCUUUAUAUAGUAAUUAUAUAGAGAAAAACCUGUAACGAACAAUUAGUAAGCACACAUCAUUUUCAAACACGUACAGUAUGUUUACCAAAAUUUACCAUAUACUAGGUAAUUCUCAGCAAACACUAAGAAUUAAUGUCACGCAUACCAGACUCUCUGGCUACUAUAGAAAAAUGUAGAAUUCAAUAAGCAAAAAUACGAUUGUAUUAGGUUUCUAUUGCUGCUAUAACAAAUUGCCACUAAUUUAGUGGCUUAAAACAACACCCAUUUAUUAUUUCAUAGUUCUGUAAGUCAGAUAUCUGGGUGCAGCAUGAAUCAGCUGGUUCAUGAAUCAGCAUGAAUCAUCUGGUUCACAGGGUUAUAAUCAAGGUGUUCAGCUGGGCUGUGUUCCUUUCCAGAGGCCCUGGGGAUGUUUCCAAACUCAGACUGUUGGUCUAAUUCAGUUCCUUGCAGGUAUAGGACCCAAGUCCCGGCUUCCUUACUGGCUGUCAGCCCCAGCCAGUCUUUGCUCCUAGAAGCUGCCUGUACUCCCUCUCAUGCUUUCCAUGUGCCCCACCUCCUGCAAUCCAGCAGCAGUGAUGAGUCCUUCUCAUACUUCCAAUCUCUCUGGCUUCUGCCACAUUUCUCUGUUUCCAGCCAGAGAAAAUUAUCUGCAUUUAAGGAUAUAUUUAAGUAGGUUUUCCCCACCCAGAUAAUACAGGAUAAUUUCCCUAUUUUAAGAUCCAUCAUCUUCAUAUCUGCAACUCACUUUUGCCAUGUAGAGUAACAUAUUGGCCUGAGUGCACUGGUGUUUACAGCUAAUUGAUCACAACCAGUUAUAAAUUUAUUUGUUUCUUCUCCACUCCCACUGCUUCACUUGACUAGCCUUAAAAAAUAAUUUUAAAAAUUAAAAAUAAUAAUAUGUAAAGUAACAGAUUUACAGGUUCCUGGGAUUAGAGUGUGGACAUAUUUUGGUAGUGGGGGAGGGUCUGCCUAUCACUAUAGUCCAAUAAAUAAACAAUAUAUUUGGAAUUAUUUUAAAUCUAUACUUAAUAGGUCAAAAGAAAAAAAUCAUGAAAAUUUUAAAAUAUUUAGAGCUUAAUAAUGAUGAAAAGCCAAAAUGUGAAGGAAUGAGCUAAACCCAAUUUUGCUUAGAAGAAAAGCCAUAACCUAAAAUGUUCACGUGCAAAGAGAAGAAAAAAUAUUAAUGAAUAAAUGUACUAAUACAGAAUUUUAAUUAAAAACAACAGUCUAAACUCCGGAGCUGGGAAGGAAAUAGUAAAAAUAAGAGCCAGAGUCAAUGAGUAAACAACAAACAAAUUAUAGAGAGGAUCAAAGAAUUCAAAGAGUCAAUCUUUGAAAAUACUACUAAAAUAGACAAAUUUCUGACAAUAUUGAUCAACAAAGAGAGAGAAGGUAAGAAUACAAAAGGAGAAUAAACUGCUUUUUUUUUUCAUUUUUUUUUUUUUUUUUUUAGAGAUGGAGUCUCACUCUGUGGCCCAGGCUAGAGUGCAAUGGCACAAUCUCAGCUCACUGCAACUUCCGCCUCCCGGGUUCAAGCAAUUCUCCUGCCUCAGCCUCCCGAGUAGCUGGGACUACAGGCACACGCUGCCACGCCCGGCUAAUUUUUUUUUUUUUGUAUUUUAGUAGAGACGAGGUUUCACUGUGCUGCCCAGGCUAAACUCCUGAGCUCAGGCAAUCCGCCUGCCUCGGCCUCCCAAAGUGCUAGGAUUACAGGCGUGAGCCACCGCGCCCGGCCAUAAACUCCAUGUUAAAAAAAAAUUAUGUGAAUACUAUAAACAAUUUUAUGACAAUAAAUCACCAAGAUUGCUCUAUAUAUGAUCAAUAAAUGAAAAAUUAACAUUCCGAUACAACAGCAAUAAACAACUGGAAAAUGUCAAUUAAAAGAAUUUACAAUAGCAACCAUAAGAUUCCUAGGAAUAAAUCUAACAACAACAAAAAAGAUAUGCAAGACAUUA